CAAACAUUUAAACCAAAGGAAAGAUAGAGUGAUUUCAUCCUUGGCUGAAAGACACAGGACCUUUCAACACUUGUGAUUUGCUCAGGAGCAGAAACCAGAUAACCAAGCUUGUUAGAACUGGGUAUGAAGUCGGAAUAAAUAGACUCUGAAGAUGGGGCCCUGAGGAACUCCCUUCUGAAUAAAGUACAAGCACCAACAACAUCUCUCUUUGUCUUUUCUAGAUGGUGAUGCUGCCACAGCUGAAUUCUAAAUGGGUGAAGUGCCCAUAGUUAGAUGUUUCUGUUGGCCCUUGGACAACACGGGUUUGAACUGGAUGGACCAACUUAAGCAUGGACUUUUUUCAGCCAAACUUGGGCAAGUAUUCCCGGGAUGCGACAACUGCCCCACCAGCCCCCGCAGAGGGCCAGGUUUUCGUUUCUGCAGGUUUAUGGCCCUGAGGACUUGAACAAGCAUGGAUUUUGGUCCCCGUGGGCAGCCCUGGAACCAAUCCCUCCUUGUAUACCAGAGGACGACUGUAUUUUGUUUUCAUGGUUAAAUUGUUAAAGGAUAAAAAUGUUCAUAUAAACACAAUUUUGAACACUUAAAUACUUAACCAGUGUAAUAUGAAUUCACAUACCCUUUCUUUCUAAUUGACCUUCAAACUGCAGCAGCCCCUGAGUUUAGCUUGUACUCCUGCCACUCCAGCCAGCCCGCUGCCACUUAGCCGGACAGCUCAACACACACACACGCACACACACACA